GAUGCCUACAUUAAGGCAACAGCCGUCGUGUACGACCACUCCAACACCAAACUCGUUAGCAGAAAGACUAGAGUCAGCAGGCGUAGGAAGGAGGCGUUUCUUUCUGUGCUUCCAUACAGGAGACCGUCAUCUCAUCACCACUCCCAUGAGAGAAAGACAUCGUCAUCAUUGAUUACCCGGAAACCAAGAAGUAAACAUGCGAAAGAAAGUGUCAUCAGUAACCCGAAACAGAAGUUGAACAUCUCUGUCCAGACUCCCGAAAAUGCCAACGAUGAUGCACCACAGACGCUUAGCUUCCAAUUGGAUCCGGAGACAUCCGUCCAAUCGCUAAAAGAGCUCAUUCAAAAGCAGAUUGGUGUCGAGGCGCGGCGUCAGUGUCUGUACAUCCGGCGAAACUUUCAGCUCUGUGACUUACUCACACUUGAGGAGAAUGGUGUCGACAAGGAUGAAAUCAUUUCUCUCCGUCUAUCUGAAGACGAUGAGAAUUGCAACGAAGUAC